rnacentral:lncRNA from 1 species
GUCUUUGGAAAUUUUCGGCAGUGAAGGCGUCGCUAUCUUUGAAGGCCUCAAAAUAGCUUCUAGCACGUUGGCCAUUCCUUUGCCUUUCAUAGGAGUUCCCACUAGGAUGGAUGCUAUCUUUAACAACUCCGGCACCUUCGGUGGAUCUUGAACCUUUGGCUGUUCUUCCACCCCAUGGCCCUUUGCUGAAGAUGAUUCCAAAUGAAUGGGGGGCAGGGCAUUCACCACAGUCGCCUUGAUUCCUUUCAUCUCCAGUUCAAAAAUUCUAAAAGUAACAUUAGACCAGUUGUAACACCCCACUGGUCGCACAAAAUGGAUAAUACCAUAAACCUCAUCUACCAAACUUACUCAACACAAGAGAUGUAAUAAAGAAAGAAUAUAAAGCAAGAAAAAAUCCGGCAGCACCUCCUUUGAAAACUAGCAUAACAAGGAGGGGAAAACAUGACGCACAUACAAGAUAUAAAGACAUAUAAUUCACAUAGUAGAAACUGUAAUGCAAGAGUGGUAAAACUUAAUUAUGACCCAACUGAAGUAAAACGAAUGGGAUAAGAACUCAGUCCACCCCAAAAUAACCGCUCAACCAAGAAUAAAGCAAUUCACUAGACUUGUCCAACUCUGAUUAACAACAUUAAUAAAUGGUGGUUCCUUCAUUAAAGGUGUAGUGGCCGUGCUGCUACAUCCCUCUAUUCCCCAAAGCAGAAAUUAGGUGCCUGCAUCAAACAAUGCAAGAUGUGAGAUAACACAUCUCAGCAAGUAAACAUAACAACAACAAAUAGGACAUUGUAAAUCAACUGUGCUUACACAACCACGUGUUCAGGACUUCUUUCUUUUCUUUUGAACAGUAAAUUGCAGCAAGUAUACGAGUAACUAAAAAAACUCAACACCAAGUAGAAUCACCAUGCACAAGUCCAAAUUAUCCACAUCCACAUAAUAGAUUCAACACCUCUCCCAUGAAUGCACAUGGCUACAAAUGCAAUAAUGACUUCUGCCUCCAUAUCUCUAAGGAUAUGAAGCUGCAUCAUACCCCUUCUCGGGCAACAUAUGAUGCUCAAUGUACCGGUACGGUCGGACCAUAAGAUCGCGACGAAACUUCAAUGCAAUGGAUGAUGAGUGCAUUAUGCAUGACAACAUCAUAAGUUCUCCCCAAAUAAAAAGGUGCUAGGCAUUUACUUCCACCCAUUCCACAUAAUUACCACUUGAGUAACAUAAUCAAACCUCAAACUCAACUUAUGAAAUCCAUGAAACAUGAACAUGUUCAAAUGAUGGUACUCGAAAGAAAAUAUGAAUUUGAACAUGAUAGCACAACAUGAACAAGUAUAAGACUCCUCAUCUGACAGACGGAAUAACCAUCACAAUUUUACUUGCCUUUACCGAAGUUCGGGCAAAAUCCCUAAGAACGAUCCGGAAGUCCACCACCUGUUUUUGACACCCAACUUAGUGCACCAAAUUCACAUAAAAAAACUCAAAGACAACACCGCACCUACGCACCUACGCGCAAUCUCAAACCCCGCCGCGGUAACAAUUCUCCCCUCACUAACCAAACUGCAGCGGCGCUGCUUAACAAUUCCAUAACUUAAAAAUUAGGACAGCAGUGAUGAUAAACAAAAACUUCAGAGACAACUACAUGAAAUUCCCCACAAGUUUUGUAUACAACUCAUGAUUAAAUUCUAACAUCUACUUACCUCUAAACGGUCCACAAAAUAAACCCUGCAAUAUGUUUUUUUCUGAUUUGGGCAGCGACAUACGCGGAUUCAAACAGCGAUAACUUUUAAAAUAUAAUUCCGAUUUGAGCGCAUAAGUACUUGUUGGAAAGAUAAGAAAAAGCCCUACAUGAUUCUCAUACUGAUUAACACUAAUUACUCCCGAAAAAUCCCCAGAAACUGCUAACACUGCUGCUGUUCAUCACUCUGAAAAAUCUGUUUUUUGGACAGCCACAUACCCGGAUUCAAACGAUGAUAACUUUUAAUUUAUAACUCCAAAUUGAGCGCAUAAAUACUCGUUGGAAAGUUAAAACAAAGUUCUACAAGAUCCCCAAAUCUUCACGAAAAAAACCUAAAAACUGCUGGAACUACCGCUGUUCAUCCACCACGCAAAAUUCUGGACAGCCCCCCUCUAUCUAAUCGCAAACGCAACAUCUAAUCAAUUGAAUCGCAGCGCAAAUGAACAAGGGAUGAACACAAAAGAAAAAUCACCUUGGGUUCUCCCCCUUUCCUUCCUCCCUUCUUCCCUCCACCAAAAUGAUUGGAGAUUCGCACCAAGAGACGAUGAUCCGAGCGGCACGGAGUAGCACCUUGGGAGGAGGGGAUUGGGGGCGGCGGCUAGGGUUUUGGUGGCUGCAACAAUGGAGAGAGGAGGAGAUGGGCAGGGGGGCGGCGGCCAAGGGGAAAGGAGGAGUGGGGGGGCUGCACA